AAACAAGAAGAGCUCUACUGAGAAGACUGCCUUUGUCACUGGCAACUGGAAAUUCAAAGACUUUCAGUCCCCAUAGUCAGACAUCUGGCCUAGGACACUUGGCUGCUGAGAACAGGGCCCCACAGGAAAGCAGCUGCAGCUACUUAGUGCUUCACCUGCAGCUGCCAAGGGAUGCUGCCUGGACAGUGCAGAUGCUGCAGCUUCGCAGGAAGGGGGAGACUGAAGCUCCCUCCUCCACCUGGGGGGAGGAAACCCCCAGCUCUCCCAUCCUGGAGUGGCCUCAUCCAUCUCUGCUCCUCCCAGGCCUUGCUCUUUGUUCAUGGUCUUCUGAACCCUGUGCUUAGAGCUGCCAAGGCCCUCUUGUCCCCUUCUUGGCCAGACCUGUAACCACUGGGAUGCAGGGCACCACGUGGCAUUCAUCAUCCUGAUUUGGAUGGGCUUGAGCUCCAGGUUGAGGCCCAGACACCCAGAAUUUGGGUGCUGCAGUGCCAGAGCCCUCCUCAGCAAAGCUCUUUAUGCACGAGUCAGUGCCUGGUGCUGGCUUUUACAUCCAUUCUCACAAAUCAUUUUUCUUACCUUGUCCCUGUGUUAACUACUGACUUCUGUUAAUGACCAAGAAAAGAACAUGCUGAAAUUUAACAGUUUUUAAAGCAGCUCACAUGACAACUGCCAUUUCCUAUAUUGUUCACUCUUCAGAACUACCAGCAAAUCCCUCUUUCCCAUGCUAUCAGCACUGUACUGGCAUGUUUGCCAGCCCCAGUCCUCUGGUAUACGUAACACUGUGUUUUUUGGACUGCAUGAAUGUGUGCAAGAUAUCUUUGAUGAGAUGUGAGGGAUGUAUCAGGCACAGAGAAUCUGGAAUGUCUAGUUAUUUCUAGAGCUGUGACUGACUAGGGGGAUUUUUCUGUGAAUUGUAGGUAGGGAAAAAGCUGUGGGGGUCAUUUCUAGAUAAGUUAUCUUUCCUUGGGUUAUAGGAAUAGUGAAACCUGGAUAAGAUAAAAGGUUUUCCACAGAAGAAUGGAGCAUCUCUUGCUCACUGGCACUGACCUGAAAAUCAGAAGUCUCAGGAGGUUAUAACCUCUCUUACAGCACUCAUUGGUGCACAAGGUCACAACAACAAAUGUACAUGCCUCCGCGUGUGUGCUUUUUCUGAUAUCUCUGAAGUUGCCUCACAUUGCUCACAGAGGCAUCAGAUUAAAAAUCCAGCUAGAACCCAAUUUCUCAUUUACUGCAACUUUUUCCUGCUGUACUUGUAACACUUGUGUUGUAUGUUCACAUUUUUGCUUUCAGGAUUUUACCAUCACAACUGCUAAUUUCUCUUUCAACAUCCUGUUCUGUCUAUUGUACAGCUGGGGUAGCUGCAGCACACACAUACCAAGCGAUCCACCCUGGGUCAUACAGUGAGUCGGUGGGAAAGCCAGCAAUAGAAUCCAUAAGUCCUGCAUCCAAGUUCUCUAAGUGCCUUGACUAGUCCAGAUUCCCUCCUUAACACCCUUGUCAAAUUGUUUAUAGGAGAUGUAUUCAUAUAGUCGGUAAGACAUCAAAAUUUUCUAAUUAUAUCUAGUCAUGUCAAAUGACAAUUAUGCCCUUAGUUCAGUUUGCCAGACAAUGCUUUACCAAAGAAGGCUUGCCAAAAAUUUUUUGACCGAAGAAAGAGUAGGCAUCUGUAGCAUCUGCAGAUGAGAUCGUAUAAAAUGUCCCUGCAGCAAGACUGCCCUGUCUCCACGGAAAGCUUCAAGCACUGACCAGCUGCCAGGCUGCAAGCCACCCAUCUGGUGUCACAAGAGAGUAUUCUGCUGAGGUAUCUUCAGUGAAGAGCAGCCAUGGCUUCUUCAGAUGCUGAGAUGGCUGUCUUUGGAGAGGCAGCUCCCUACCUCCGAAAGUCAGAGAAGGAAAGAAUCGAGGCCCAGAACAAGCCUUUUGAUGCCAAGUCAUCAGUCUUUGUGGCCCAUCCAAAGGAAUCCUUUGUGAAAGGGACAAUCCAGAGCAGGGAAACAGGGAAGGUCACUGUCAAGACUGAAGGUGGAGAG
rnacentral:lncRNA from 1 species